GGGGGUGCACUGGUUUCGACAGGGCCGUAGAUGAAUUGAGUGCGUGUCUAGGUUGAUCGACCGGCCUAGUAAAAAGUCGAUCAAAUGUAUUCGGAAACGAAACAGAAUUUGCAAUGGCUGCAUAAUCCAACUGAUUAUUGCGCAUGCUGCGGGGCCUACACCAAUAACAAAAAGUAGGUAAAGACCUCAUGAGGGGAGGUCCGUAAACUAAGCUCUCGCUGCUAGCCGGGACCGCAGUUUAAACUUUCACCGGGUUUUGUGAAUUUGACAAGAUUCUCACAGGCGUCACUUCCUCUAAUGUGACUACACACGUAGGACUCUCUCUCGGAAGCGGUUUUGGACGUCGGUUCGAUUCCGACCACCUCCACC
rnacentral:tmRNA from 1 species